rnacentral:rRNA from 1 species
CCAAUAGCGUAUAUUAAAGUUGUUGCAGUUAAAAAGCUCGUAGUUGAAUUUCGGGGUUAGUAGGUUGGUCAUGCCUCUGGUAUGUACUGGUCUCACUGAUUCCUCCUUCCUGAUGAACCGUAAUGCCAUUAAUUUGGUGUUAUGGGGAAUUUGGACUGUUACUUUGAAAAAAUUAGAGUGUUUAAAGCAGGCUAACGCUUGAAUACAUUAGCAUGGAAUAAUGAAAUAGGACGUUCGAUCCUAUUUUGUUGGUUUCUAGGAUUGACGUAAUGAUUAAUAGGGAUAGUUGGGGGCAUUAGUAUUCAAUUGUCAGAGGUGAAAUUCUUGGAUUUAUUGAAGACUAACUACUGCGAAAGCAUUUGCCAAGGAUGUUUUCAUUAAUCAAGAACGAAAGUUAGGGGAUCGAAGACGAUCAGAUACCGUCGUAGUCUUAACCAUAAACUAUGCUGACUAGGGAUCGGAUGAUGUUAAUUUUUUAAUGACUCAUUCGGCGCAUUACG